rnacentral:tRNA from 1 species
CGCGCUGUCCGCGGCGGGGCACGGUCUCGCCUCGGGGGCGAGGGUCCCGCUGUGGACGCUGGCCGCCGGGUUCGGCGCCCUGCUGCUCGUC